rnacentral:misc_RNA from 1 species
UUCUUCUGGAACUCAGUGCCGAACAAACAAACAGGUCCAGAUUCAGGCUGGACCAUAACAGCAAGGGAGCAACUAAUUUUUUGACACUGACACACAGAAGGAUCAAUCUGACCGCACAGUCGGCCACUAGUGGUGGGUUCAUCAUCAAGUAUACACACAGCACCAGCAAGUCCAGUCUGAAGUGCUCGACGAGAUAGCUGAGCAGCACGAAUACGACGUGCAAUGCUUGAAACUCUUUCCCUUGCAAAAGAGUCGUCAAGAACAGAAUCUCCUCCCACUGCACGAACUGCAGCUGCCAUUGCUGCUGCCUCUCUAUUACCAGCAUUAGGAAUAGAUGAUAUAAGUGAUGCCUCUAUUUCCUUCCAUUUUCGUUCCUCCUUCUCAAGGAGAGCUUUCCUCCUUUCUUUACCCCUUCCUUCCUCUUCACGUCUCUGCAUCAGGAUUUCCUCUUCCAUCUCUUUCUCCCUCAUGUAACUCUCCUGUAUGAUUUCAAAUCGCCUACGAUCUUCUGGGAGCCAUUUCUUUAUGUCUUUGGCACUGAGAUCUGAAAACCCUAUGUUGUCAAGGAAAAGUCGCAGACGAACCUCGUCCUGUACCCUCUCAGCUUUAGCAGUCAAACCAAGCAAGAGAAGCAAGUAACCACCAAACUUAUCCCACAUGUAUACCCAUUCAG